rnacentral:rRNA from 1 species
AUGCGGGCCCUCGUCUCCCCGGCCCCAGCCGCCGCCGCAUUCCUCCCGCGGACCCCGAGCCCCGGCGCGAGCCCUCGAGGGGCCACAGCGCUCUCGCGGCACCGCUCUUCUUCCGGUGGCCGCGCUGUCGCCGCCGGGGCUGCUGCCACGGGCGACCACUGGGGCGCCGACGACCAGCAGCACCACCGGGAGCAGCAGCAGUGCCGCGGUGGCGCCGGCAGGGGCGGCACCAGGCGCGCGGGGCCCAGCGUGCAGUGCGACGUGGACGUGGUGUCGUGGCGCGAGCGGCGGGUGUUCGCGUCCGUGGCGGUGGCCGCCGACGUCGACACCGUCUGGCGCAUCAUCACCGACUACGAGCGCCUCGCCGACUUCGUCCCCAACCUCGUGCACAGGUACGCGUUUCCUUCUCGUCCACCGGCCCGUCUCGGUCCCUUCUUCACCAUGGGAGCACCGUUGAAGGGUUCUGAUUUGGGGGAAAUUUCGUGCAGUGGGAGGAUCCCAUGCCCGCACGAGGGCAGGAUAUGGCUGGAGCAGAGGGGGCUGCAGCAAGCGCUCUACUGGCACAUCGAGGCGCGUGUCGUGCUCGAUCUCCGGGAGGUCCCGGAUGCCGUUGAUGGACGAGAACUCCACUUCUCCAUGGUCGAUGGCGACUUUAAGAAAUUCGAAGGGAAAUGGUCUGUCAGGGCUGGUCCAAGGUCCGCUAGUGCGAUUUUGCUGUAUGAAGUUAAUGUGAUACCACGAUUCAAUUUUCCAGCAAUAUUUCUUGAGAGGAUUAUAAGGUCGGAUCUUCCUGUGAAUCUUACAGCCUUGGCUUUCAGAUCUGAAAAAAUGUAUUUAGAAAACCAUAAAUUUGGACCUACAAAAUUUACCGGUGCAGAGUCCAAGCCACUUAACUUGCGUAGUGCAACAGUCGAGAAUGAUGUCAUAUCUUCUAGUAAGUUCAAAGAAGCGCCUGCCUCUUCCGGUUUUGGUGGUGUGCUUGCUUCACCCCCUCCUGAGUUGAAUGGGAAAUGGGGUGUAUAUGGAAGUGUCUGCAGGCUUGAUAGGCCUUGUGUGGUAGAUGAGAUCCAUCUUCGACGAUUUGAUGGCCUCUUGGAGCGUGAAGGGGCUCACAGGUGUGUUGUUGCUAGUAUCACUGUGAAAGCACCAGUUCGAGAAGUAUGGAAUGCACUAACAGCAUAUGAAAAGUUACCCGAGAUUAUACCAAACCUGGCAAUCAGUCGGAUUCUUCUUCGUGAUAAUAACAAGGUUCGAAUAUUACAGGAGGGCUGCAAAGGCCUACUUUAUAUGGUUCUUCAUGCCCGUGUUGUAAUGGAUCUUCGUGAGAAACAUGAACGUGAGAUCAGCUUUGAGCAAGUUGAGGGGGAUUUCUACUCAUUUAAAGGAAAAUGGCGCCUCGGACAGCUUGGAGAUCAGCACACACUGCUGAAGUAUAUGGUCGAGACUAAGAUGCAUAAAGAUACCUUUCUCUCAGAGUCCAUCCUUGAAGAGGUCAUAUACGAAGACCUUCCAUCAAAUUUAUGUGCAAUCCGUGAUUAUGUUGAAAAGGCAGAAGCUGAGAGAGGUAAUUCCACAAUUCACUCGGAUGCGCCAACCAAUCCAGAUACUGUUCCUUUGUGUUACACAGAAGGACGACAGUCGGAGCAAGCAUCUGUACAUUGCUCUUCAAGUUCCACGAGGCAGAGACCAAAAGUUCCUGGCCUGCAAAAGGACAUCGAGGUCCUGAAAUCCGAACUUGGUAGUUUUAUUGCAAAACAUGGUCAGAAUGGUUUCAUGCCUAAGAGAAAACAUCUUCGUACACAUGGGAGAGUUGAUAUCGAGAAGGCUAUAACACGGAUGGGUGGGUUCAGGAAGAUUGCUACCUUAAUGAAUCUUUCCCUUUCUUAUAAAAAUCGGAAACCAAGAGGUUAUUGGGAUAAUCUGGAGAACUUGGAAGAAGAGAUCAGGAGAUUCCAGAAGAACUGGGGGAUGGACCCUUCUUAUAUGCCAAGUAGAAAAUCUUUUGAGAGGGCAGGGCGCUACGACAUUGCUCGCGCCCUGGAGAAAUGGGGCGGGAUACAGGAGGUCUCCCGGCUCCUCUCGCUUGAACCAAGGCGGCCCCGGAAGCAAACGGACCCUGACGGCGAGCUGCAGCCCGAAUCGCCAAGCGCCGCCGACGCAACCAAGCACCCGAGCAGCAGCAAAGCAGACAAGGCGAGCGUGCCCCUGGACGCGCAGAAGUGGCUCCUGAAGCUCAAGGACCUGGACAUCAACUGGGUCGAGUACUGA